UGUCACUCUUACAUAGUUAAAUGCACUUUUAAUUUUCAAUUUGGUCAUAGUUACGUAUUUAACUACAACAUUUUGUUUGAAUUGUCAUCUCUUGGCUCAUUCCAUUGCAAUAAUGAGACUUUUGAUCCAGAAAUGAAAACAAGAUAUUCCCACUGGUAUCAAGUAACAGCCUUCUUUACUGAUUACUUUAAAAUAAGGACAAGUCAUUUCAACUAUUCACAAACAUUUCUGACAUAUUGCAAAAUAACGUAAGAGAAGACGGAUCACAAUCAUAAUUGAAGCAAAAUGGUUGCCAGAACUUUUACAGAUACGUGGUUUGCUUCCAUUUCAGAACGUUUGCUGAUGCGUUUGUGCAGGAGAAUAUCGGUCUGUUUGGUCAAAUGGGCUUCUGCUGUACAUACAGUGCUGAUGGUGUCCUAAUGGAUGAAGUGGAAAAAUAUUCUUAAAGGGGUACUUUGGCAGACGCAGCCAUUUGGAGUACGGCCUCUCAUGGCUGCAGGCUUGCUGCAAGGUUUGCCUUUCUUUUAAUGAUAAUUCUGUAACAAGAUAUGAAGCUGACGUUUGUUUUACACUUUAUGUAAGUAUUUAAAAGAUCUGAGACCUAUUUUUGCUACGUAUAUAUUUUUUAAGCUUUAAGGCUGUGCCACUAAGAACACUUCAUCCAUCUUUUGUCAUUUUCUGAAACGUUACUAUUGUCAAAUUUAGAAUCCUUAACAGCAAUGAUGACGUUCCUCAUCUAAAAAAUCCUAAAGCAAAUGGAAGAAUUCCCUGGGAACCUGCAGACCAUGUGCAUGAUACAAAACUACGAAAAUUAGUCCAAAGUUCUGAUAAAUAUUUAGCGCCAGCGAGAGCUAAUAUUUGUUCUAGUUCUAAACAGUGAGAUGUUUAUUAUAUACAGAACACUUGGGUAGAAUAUGGACAGUAUACAAAGGUGACUCAAGGCAUUUCACGGUCUGACUUGUUUGUACAGCAGCCCUCUUUUGCUUACGCAUAGGCUCGUGCGCCAUAUGGAAGGGAACAUUCCUCGUGGUUCGACGGGCACAAUCGUACCGUCUGCCAGCGGCCUUCUGCAGGCUGCACAGGAGCUGCAGGCAGGAUUGAGGGUUGGCUCCUGAGCUGUGCAGCAUGAUCAGGUGUCAGUUUACAUCAGGAUCCCCAUGAAGUGCCAGCAGCCCAGGACAGAGUUAUGACACAAAUCAAGGUGUUGGUUGAAGCUUUGCUCCAGGUGCCACUGCCAAGGUGAGAAUUUUCACAUGAGUCUGUGGUGCUUUCUUUAGCUCCUUGCUGCACUGUUCUUGUUGUCCCUCACAGCAAACAUAAAAUCCUGUCUCUUCUAACAAAAAAUGCUGUCUAUAAUAGAGGAGACUUCCAUUCCUAGAACACCUUAACGCUGACUUAGUCCAAAUGCCAAGCAUAGUUGGAACUAGAAACACUCAUCCUGUAUUUUAGUAUGACUUUGCAGAAGCUAAAAUUUGUCCUCAGAAAACGGUGGUGAAAAAACACAAAGCUAAUUCACUAGGAAGUGUGGUAAAGGACCCCAGCCUUCAUUUACAUUCUCCUUACGUUUCCAGCAGGCGCCCCAAAAGCACCAGUGGUUGGUUGCUUUUGUUUUUUAAAUAGCUAGGAAUAUGUCUCUAUUUCCUGAUUUCUCUGUGGCUGGGGCCUUCCCUGCUCACCUAGAGUUUGAGCAUUCCCUGAUCCUCGGGAUGAAUGAAACAAAGAGUUCAGGUCAGCAGCCCAGGCUGCCCACACUGGCUGGAAAAGUUCCCAGGCUGAUGGUUGUGUGAGGCUCUUGCUCUUGUUUACAAGCAUGGGGGUGGUCUCUAUAAAUCAUUUACUUAGAAAAAUGAAAAUAUGUUCAUAAUACACACUUAUCUAAAGAGCUGCUCUUAAAAAGAGAGACCUUAGGAAGCACCCUACCUCCAAGGAUCAGAGUGUUACACUUACCCUGUUCUCGUAUUUUUUUGCUAAGUAUAUUGCUUCCAUAGAACCACAGAAUGGCCCAGGUUGGAAGGGACCUUAAGGAUCAUGAAUCUCCAACCCCCCUGCCACAGACAGGGCCCCAUCCAACCUGGCCUUGAACACCUCCAGGGAUGGGGCAUCCACAACCUCUCUGGGCAGCCUGUUCCAGCACCUCACCGCUCUCAUAGUAAAGAAUUUCCCCCUGAAAUCCAACCUAAAUCUUCCCUCCUUCAACUUAAAAACCAUCUCCCCUUGUCCUGCUGUUAUCUACCCUUUCAAAGAGUCGAAAAGUUGUUCCCCUGCUAGAAAUGUCUGCAUUCUCAGUCUGGCAUUCAUUUACAGCCAGUUACCUGCAGUAAUUUCAGCCUUAAUUUUAGGACCAUUGUAAUGAGUGUGUGUUGGAGCCUGUUCCACCCUUAAAGCAUCCAUACCCUUUCUUCCGAUCUGAAACAGAAACUACCUUCAAAGAAAGCACAGCUUGAAGAAGUUGCUGACCUUGGGAUGCAUCAUUCUAAUCAGCCAGUGUUUCUAAGCUCUCCUGGUAUUAAAAGACAUCCCAUGAUACUUUAAGACAGCUGCUUUUGAUCACAUUAAACAAUUCUGUGUUAAUGGCAUCUUAGAUUUACCUCCUUAUUCAGAUCAGCAGCAGUUCAGCUGAAAAGCAAAACCACAGGCGGCUGCACAGGUAAGCAACCUGCAUUGCCAGAACUGACUGUUUGCACUAUCCCUGCCCUCUUUAACCAGUUAUUAAUCCACAAGGGAUGACUAUUCCUAUUCCACUGAUGCUGUAUUUUUCCAAAAGCAUCUUUCAUAAGCCAUCCUGAUACAGGCUACUUGGAAAUCCUUUGGCAGUAUGCCGUUGUCCUGUAGGUUGCUCUCACCAAUGUAAGUGGUUAUAAUAAAUUACAAGGCCAUAUGAGGUAGCUCAGUGCAGGCUAUUGUGUAGGUUUCUAUAUGUCUAGGUGAGUGCUCUGGGUUGGUUGAUUUGGGUUUGGUGUGUUAGUUUGUUUGGGAUUUUUUUUUGCACAGAACUAACUAGAAGUGUGAUUCCAUUGGCAAGGAUAAAUGGAGAAGUAAAAAAAGAGUCUGAAAGUGGACCCAGGAGGCAAAUAACUAAACGCUACACAAACCAAGUGUCUUCAGAUCUUCAUGGGGAAAAAAAACUACAGGCCAUGCAAUUGUACUCACACUCUUGAUGCCCAGUCCUCGCAGAGUUAUGUGUGUCUGCCUCCAGCCGUGGCCACCGUUCCUUCCCCACACAGCUGGUCCAUGAGCACCACUUCUCCUCACAAAGACUUGGAGGGCGCCCGAAUGCAGCCCAGGCACCUUAUGUCUGAAUGACAGGCACAAGUCCCCAGCCUGAGCCACGUGGCCCAGCGGCAGAAUAAGAUGUGCUGCUUUUCCCUCUGUGCCUUUGGGUUCAGAGAUGGUGAGAUAUCGUCCCCCUGAAAAACAAAAAGCAAUUCCUUCAUUACCAUUCUACUUAAAAUUUCAGGACCAAACGCAUAAGCACUGUGAAAGAAAUAAAACAGGGCUCCAGGAGGUCCAGCAAGUCUUCAGUAGAGAGUAUUAUAGCUGGAACAUGCACUGGAACUGCCACAUCUCCCUCCCACAAGACAGAUAAUCACAGAAUCACAGAAUGGCCUGGGUUGAAAAGGACCUCAAAGAUCAUCGAGUUUCAACCCCCCUGCUAUGUGCAGAGUCGCCAACCACCAGACCAGGCUGCCCAGAGUCACAUCCAGCCUGGCCUUGAAUGCCUCCAGGGAUGGGGCAUCCACAACCUCCUUGGGCAACCUGUUCCAGUGCGUCACCACCCUCUGAGUGAUCUUUUACUGUGUAUAAUUUUUUACUGAACACACUUAUUCCUCUUUUGGUGCCACUUCUCUUUGUAAAACCACCAGCUAAGAUAAAAACAUGAAUGACCUUUCACAUUGGAAUCCUCAGUUUUGAUUUUAUACACAGAAGAGGUGUGGGUCUGAAAUAAACACAUACCAUAGCUAACGUGAUACAGAAUCCGUGUAUAUCUCCUAAUUCAAGAACUAUCAUCAACCUCAAGACCAGGUAGUUCUUCAACUACAGGAUAGGAUUGUACGCAUGUGUCUUACCUGACACGUCUCUAACUGGCUCCCAGUGCAAACCAUCAUCCUUGUCCUUGAUCCAUCCACACAGGCCGCUGUCAAAAUUACAGCUGUGUACCAGCGUGCCUAGGCAGAACAGCCAAAAGGCAAAAGGGAGCGAUUUAAGUCUUUGGGUUGGGGAACAAAUGCACUUGUGGCUGAUGCAGGCACGGAAAUACGAAAAUAAAGUGUAGCAGAAGGAGUACCAGAAAAAGAAUGUACAAAAAUACUGAAACUAAAAGGGAUGCAAUUAUUACUAACAAUUUGUGCAAUUUCUGUGCUUAGUUCCUUUUCCUAACAGAUUAUGAAGGCCCAUUUAGGUAGUUGGUUGUUUUCUUUCUAAAAGCAUAGCCUAAACAGGAGGCAUAAGAUCCAGGAGUCCUGUAAAUUGUAUACAAGCACAAGAAAUCUCAAACAAUCCUAAACCCUGGGCCCCAAACAGGAGAUGUGAUCGUUACCUGGGUCAUCAUUUGCUUCAAAUUCAUCAGCAGUAAUCCCUCUUUCAAUUUCAAGUAUUUCAAACAGGUUAUUGCUCACUCCGGGCUGGCGCGGAACUGUGAGAAAAGUAGGUUUUCAGAAAUGAAUGAGAUAAAGAUAGUGACCCACUUCCUUAUCUAUAAUAAAAAACAGAGAGCAGCUCUGGGCGUUGUGCUUCUCUUGGAAAAUUCAAUAUAUUUAAUUACAGUUGACGCAAAGAUUCAUAAACUUUAUGCCUGGGUGAUUUAUGUUGUAACAUUUAUCUGAGCUCUGUAAAAGGUGAUUGCAAAGCUGCUAACGGCUCUUCUAACGAAAGCUGCUUUUUCAACCAAGAAAAAAAAGAAAUCUUUAACCUUGAAGCACACAAUUCCUCACCAAAUGUACUUACAAAGAUAGCAGUUUCUCAGUAACAUACAGCCACAUUAAAGUCCUUUCUCAAAGUUUCUAAUCCACUCACCUUCCACAGAUGUUUUAUAGGACAACUUCAGCACAGGGCACUGGUAUUUGGAAGAGGCUCCACAUGAAAGAAGGAGCUAUUCUAUCCACCUUAACCCAGAAAUCAAAUCAAAGACUCUUUUGCACAAGGACAACACAUAGAUAGCACCUUGUAAGAACUCCAAGUGCAGAAGACAGAGCAACGUUAAAACAAUAGAGUAGCUUUGUGCUUUUUACAUUUGGGGCAAAAUAAUCAAUCAAAUGCAAAUUAUUUUCAAAGCAAUAUGCUCUACAAGAUCUGUAGCAUAAAAAUAAGCUCAAAGGGCGUAUGCAACUUGUUGAUUUCUUAGACUCAUUCUUACAACUUUUUUUUUUUUUUUUUUUCUGCUCAGAAUCAUUUGUAGAGUUUGGAAGAUGUCAAUUUGCAGUCAGUGACACCAACGCAUGAUCGGCCUCAAGGACUUCAGGUCAGCCUGAGGAGUAAAGGCCUGUUCUUUUUUAAGAUACACUGUUUGAAAUUAUAUUUUUGCUAUUUUGUUUAAUGGGUUUCUUUUGCUCAUGUGAGAUUUAAUACAGUGGAACUCAUAGGAAUUUGAACAACUCACGCCACUUAGUCCAAUAAACAAACUGCAGUAUACCUAUGCACAAAUAAUGUAGUCAUAUAUACAAAACAGAAAAAAGAAUAAAGAACAGUUCAGCUCAGGCAGCAAAAAGCUACAGGAACAAACUGCAGGAAACAUUAGGAAUUUGUUUUACAAACUAUUUCAGUUUGCUCAGUACAAUACCAUUUCUCAUACACUUAUUACUCUAAAAACCUCUUUAAUAUUUUGUGUUUAUGCUAUUUUCUAAAAAUCUGUUCUGUUCUAAAGUUAAAAACAAAAAUCUUCAAACCUUUCCCCUCAAGUUCUCUCCUAGCGCUGUUAUGGACUCCUAGAAAAGCACGCUGUAGGGCUUUCAAACAGCCCGUUCAGUGCUCACACCUAAUGAGAGGAAUGUGCACUUGAUAGAAGACGAGAGUUACCGCAAGCGAUGCGGGACUCUCUGUGUACUCCAGGUGUACCCUUCGUUGUGCCACAAUAAUGUGUAUGUGGAGCGGCGAUCGUGGGAGCAAGUAUUUGACACAGCUACUUUCUGCAAGCUUUCCAGUCCCCCUUCUGUGUACUUUAUAUAGCAUGUCAAGUGUGCUUUUCACUUAACUUCAACCAUUUGAUAAAACUCGUUAAAUAUAAACUUGGCUCCUUGGAGAAUUUUGUAAGCCCCGAGUGAGCCAAUACAUCAACACUGCC
rnacentral:lncRNA from 1 species